ensembl:lncRNA
AUGGAGAAAGGAGGGGAGAAGGGAAGGGAAGGGAAGGGAAGGGGCUGCAGCACACACCACCGGUGCCACCGCGGCUCCAGCAGCAGCAGCACGGCCGCAGCCGCCAGCGCGGUGCAAUCGCAACGCGACGCCCCCCGGCUCGCCGCCCCGCGCCUGUCACCCCCCCUUCCCCUUCCUUCCCAUUUCCCUUCCCCUUCCCUUCUUCCCCUUCCCCUCCCCAAACCUCCCUCUCUAUCCCGGGCCCUCCCCGGGCGGCGCUCCCGGUGCGCAGCGGCCCUGCCGACGGAGCGCAUUAAAAAAAAACAAAAACCCUUUUCCUCCCCGCUGACCCCCCCACGGUUCCUCCCCGGUGUCCCCCCCGGCUGCAGCAGCCUCUUACCGGGCGGGCCGUGCCCCGCUGCGUCUCAGCGGCGGCGCUGGGCGGGGGUGGCCCCGGCGGCCAUCCCCGGGCGGCCGCGCCGCUGUCCGCCGCCGUGCGAGCCGCCUCGGCGGUGUCAGCGGGCGGGAGCCCCGCGCGGCGCCGGGAGGGAGGGGAGGAAAGUCGGGGGCAUGACCGAGCGCCGUCGGAAGUGCAUUCGUUGCCCGUCGCCCUCCCCGCGACGGCGGCGACAUCUGCCGGCGGGGAGCGCGCACCGCGAGGCGCGCACCGGGCUGCGCGCAAAAAGAAAGGGGGUGAGGGGGGCGCGGCGCCGGGCAUCGCGGGGUGGAAAGGGGGGGAGGGAGGGGUGCCGGGCAUCGCGGGGUGGGUGGGGGGUGAUGGGGGGGUGAGGGGUAGAGGGAAUCGCGGGGGGGUGUGGGGUGAUGGGGUGAGGGGUACUGGGGAUCACCGGGUGCGCGCGGUGCACGGGGGGUGAUGGGCAGCGGGUACCGGGCAUUGUCGGCUGGAUAUGGUGUGCUGGGGGUGAUGGGCACCGGGUACUGGGCAUUGCUGGCUGCUCUUGGGGUGCUGGGGGUGCUGGGCACCAGGUACCAGGCAUCACCGGUUGGAUAUGGUGUGCUGAGGUUAGUGGUACUGGGUACCGGGCAUCACCAGCUGUGCUUGGAGCACUGGGGGUGAUGGGCACCAGGUACUGGGCAUCACCAGCCAUGCACCACACUCGGGGUACCCCCGGCCACACGCUGGGUGUGAUGGGCACCGGGUAUUGCCAACCACACACCGGGUAUCAUACGCCAGGCACGCAGUACUGGCUGUCAUGCACUGGGUACCGGGUGCUGGGGACCCAGUGCAGCACGGUGGGUAUGGGUACUGGGUGGCACUUACUGGGCUGCAUGCAGCAGGAACUGGUGCCAGGCACAGCAGGGGGGAGCGCACUGAGCACCGGGGACCAAGCACCAGAUCCUGCAGCAAGGUUUAGGUCUGGAUUUGGAGCUGGGUCUGUGCCUGGGUUUGGAUUCACGUUUGGUUGAGGGCUGGGCAACGCGUGGAUCUGCACUUGGAUCGGGGUCUGGGUUUGGAUCAGGAUUUGGAUCCAUGUCUGGAUCUGCACUCAGAGUGGCAUUCAGCUCCUCAUGUGGAUCUGCUUCUGCAUCUGAAUCUGGAACACGCAUCCUCCACAAAAACACAGAGGUGGCACUUCUCACACCCCCCCCAAGCAGCCCCACAGGUGCGCUGAGCACCACCACGCCACGGGGCACUCACCUGCUUGCUGGUGAGGGUUUGUGCACCCUGCCCCGAGCACCACGGGGACCCUCAGGGAGGAGCUGGGGGCUGCAGCAGCCGUGGCAGGAGCCGUGGGGAGGGACAAGAUGGCACCGGCCCCGCUCGCCUUGGCCGGUCACCAGCCGUGCGUCUGGGGCUGAACGUGCUCCGAGGAGGGGCUGGGGUCAGGGAGGGGGAUGAGUGCAGGAAACAUAUUAAGUGAGGAAAAUUGGCUGCAGGCAGCACUGCUGCCUAGUGCUUACUUGGUAUUUUCCUCUCCGUCAGGUGUCUGGUAUAAGCCCUUUCUGGGUAGCGGUUGCAGCUGGUUAACUGUUUGUGCUGCAGAGGGGCCGCCAGCCUCCAGCACCCGCUCUGCACCAAGCAGGGGGGCACCCAGCACCCCCCCCCCCCACAGUGCUUGUGGCCCCUGGAGCUCACGCCCGGGUUCGGCCCCAGCAGCUCGUGCAGGUAUUUUAACAGGGAGCUCCUGGGCUCUUUCAGCCCAGCUGCUAAUUUGUAAUCCCGUUCUCCUGUUAAAAUAAAAGCCUCUCUUAUUCCUGCGC